UAGUGCACCGACUAUCGUCGUUCUGUCGCCGGCUAUUAUUUUUGUCAAACAAAACAAAAAAACAAGUGAAAAUGCAAGAUCUCAGUUUCGAAAUACCAUGGUUUUUUGGAAGGACAUCAUGCAUUACCUGUUUUCACUUGUUGCAAACCUACAAUAUUUAGGAUGGACGAGCUCAGCAUUGCCAACAGCUUGGGUACCACCUCGCAGAAUCGCAAGAGAGAGUAGUUUUCAAGGAAAUGGAGUACUCUGAACCAGUGUUACUGAUGAGCAUCAGUGAUGGUUUUCAAAACUACGCAGGUAUCAGGACAAGGAUCGAGUUUGACUGUUGUGGGCAACCCAAGAUAGGGGAAGAUUUUUAGUAUGUAAAAUUAUCCGAACUUAAGGGAAAAUAAUAAAACCCUAAAUUAUAUCAA